GGAUUAGUAAGGGGUUUGAUUGAGAGGGUUUUCUUUUAUUAUUUAUUUAUUUAGAACUUAUUUAUCAUGUAUGACAUGUUAGGGUUGGUUUUAAAUACGGGCAGUAUAUCUUCAUAAACUUGAUAUGAAUACUUCUGAAUUAAUAACAUGUUAGGGUUGGUUUUAUAUAGAGGCACUAGAACUGUGAUAGAAGUAUUUGAACAUGCCAGUCUUCCUUUAUGUCCCUGUAUGCUAUUUGCAAUACAAAAUGUCUAAAGGCUUUUCCUUAAUAUUUGUAGUUAAUUUAUUCGUUCAGAUAAUAGUUGGGUUCUUUGAAGAGAAUUAAAUUUCUAAGCUCAAGGAAGUCCUAUUAUUGAUUCUUUGUUCUUUUCUAAGCAGUUUGAAGAGAAAUGUAUCUCUGUUACUGCUAUAAGUUCUUUACAACCUUAGCAUUUGUUAUACCGUCAAAUGUUGUUAUUAGUAAUACGUAUUUCAAUUCAUCUAAAUGUCCGAUAUCUUUGAAUUUCUCUUUUCACAUGUUUCCAUCCUAAAUUUUGUAUUGGAAUUUUAUUUUGACUGGUCUAAACCAGUGAAAGGUUUUAUUGUGUUCUUCAGAUGUUAUAGUGGAUCCUCUUCUUUCCUUUAGGAAGGAGCUUAAAGAGAAGCAUUAUAUUAAAGUUUCAGUUAAAUGACAUCGUCAUAAAAGCAGUGGCAAUUGCUUUGAAAAAUGUACCUGAAGCUAAUGGUAAGACAUAAUUUCAAUAAAACUGGUCCUUGUAGAUUUCUGAGUAAACAUGGUAUGGGAGCUGAGCCAACACAAUUGGCUAAUGAGCUUGACCAAUUGUAAAAUGUAGUAAACAUUGCUAGAAAUGUGGGGUGAUAUUUAUCUCUUGGACUAGAUUCCACUCUGUUAUGCUGCUGUAAAAGAUUGGGAAUGACAUACAUUUUUAAACUGAUGCAAGCACAAAAAUGCUUUUAUUAGUGAUUUUUGCAUCUCUAGCAAAACUACGAUGGGAAGAAAAUAUUUUGAGUUUUUGAUUCUUUUCUACCUUUAUUUAUUUCUUUUGUGUUGAUUCAUUGGCUGGAUUCUUAGUGGGGGUAACCCUUUCCCAGUCCUUUACCAACCCUACUUGCUUUUUCAUAUGCUCAAACCAGAACUUCAACCUUCCUUAAUGAAGGAAAUGUCAUAAGAUUGUGUGGUCAUUUUAUUUCUUAUACCUCAGUAGUUCAACAAUUAAUUUGUAGUUGCUGAUCUAUAAAUGGUUUUCAGCUUAAUCUGAAAAGAGAGUUCUGGAGAAUAUUAAUGUUGUAUAAAAUAUUUAUUCACUUUGAUAGAAUCUGAAGCUGAGUAUUUACAUUAUUACCAGGUGGGUCUAUGAGCCUCCUCUAACAUCCAAACAGGAAAAGACUUAUCUUGUUUUGUGUUGAUAAUAUAUGGUUGCAUCGAAGAAGUUUCAAGCAGGAAGAGCACUUACUGUUAAUUUGUCAUACAUUUGUGUCGAGUGUACACACUGUGUAUAAGAAAUUUCCAGCAUCAGCUUAUCACUUAUUGGGAUGUUGAGAAAGGGGAAAUAAUUGUGUGAUUCUGUUGACAUAUCAAUUGCAGUUGCUACUGAGAAGGGUUUAAUGAUUCCAAUUGUAAGAAAUGCAGAUCAGAAAUCCAUUUCAUCAAUCUCCUCAGAGGUACCUUCAUCUUUGACCUCUACCC